rnacentral:lncRNA from 1 species
GCUGUCAUAAGUCAGAAAUGUCCAAAAUUUAUGGAGUGCCAAAACCAGUAUGUAUUAUUACACUCUACUUUAUCAUAAUAGACUCAACAAACACAAAAAAUACAACAACCAAACACAAAAAUGAAUGCUUUUUAUAUAUCAAACUAUUGGUUGCACAAUUGAUUGAAGCAUAUCUGAGGGAACAGAUGAGAAUAAAUGCAGAGAAGAUGAAAGUACUUGUGUUUCAGAGAGAUGAAGAAUGUAAAAGAUAUUAGGUUGAACUGAAUGGGAACAGAUCAAUGGGGACAGAAUCAAAGAAAUUUCCUUCUCUUUGCAUACUUAGAAAAUAAAUGCCAGAAUGGAGGGCAGCAUUGAUAGUGAGAUUAUGAGAAGAGCAAAUAUUGAAUUAAAAGUUAUGGGUACACUUGGAAGGUAUACAAGAAUGAGAAUCUGUCAAAAAUGCUAAGGUGGCUAUAUUAUCAGAGUAUGCUGGUUCCAGCAUUGAUGUAUGGAAGUGAGACCUGGGUAUGGGAUGAAAGGUAUAAUGUGUAUUUGAAUGCAAUAGAGAUG